rnacentral:rRNA from 1 species
GACGAACGCUGGCGGCGUGCCUAAUACAUGCAAGUAGAACGCUGAGGACUGGUGCUUGCACCGGUCCAAGGAGUUGCGAACGGGUGAGUAACGCGUAGGUAACCUACCUCAUAGCGGGGGAUAACUAUUGGAAACGAUAGCUAAUACCGCAUAAAAGUGUUUAACCCAUGUUAAACAUUUAAAAGGUGCAACUGCAUCACUAUGAGAUGGACCUGCGUUGUAUUAGCUAGUUGGUGAGGUAACGGCUCACCAAGGCGACGAUACAUAGCCGACCUGAGAGGGUGAUCGGCCACACUGGGACUGAGACACGGCCCAGACUCCUACGGGAGGCAGCAGUAGGGAAUCUUCGGCAAUGGACGGAAGUCUGACCGAGCAACGCCGCGUGAGUGAAGAAGGUUUUCGGAUCGUAAAGCUCUGUUGUUAGAGAAGAAUGAUGGUGGGAGUGGAAAAUCCACCAUGUGACGGUAACUAACCAGAAAGGGACGGCUAACUACGUGCCAGCAGCCGCGGUAAUACGUAGGUCCCGAGCGUUGUCCGGAUUUAUUGGGCGUAAAGCGAGCGCAGGCGGUUCUUUAAGUCUGAAGUUAAAGGCAGUGGCUCAACCAUUGUACGCUUUGGAAACUGGAGAACUUGAGUGCAGAAGGGGAGAGUGGAAUUCCAUGUGUAGCGGUGAAAUGCGUAGAUAUAUGGAGGAACACCGGUGGCGAAAGCGGCUCUCUGGUCUGUAACUGACGCUGAGGCUCGAAAGCGUGGGGAGCAAACAGGAUUAGAUACCCUGUUAGUCCACCCCGUAAACGAUGAGUGCUAGGUGUUAGGCCCUUUCCCGGGGCUUAGUGCCGGAGCUAACGCAUUAAGCACUCCGCCUGCGGAGUACGACCGCAAGGUUGAAACUCAAAGGAAUUGACGGGGGCCCGCACAAGCGGUGGAGCAUGUGGCUUAAUUCGAAGCAACGCGAAGAACCUUACCAGGUCUUGACAUCCUCCUGACCGGUCUAGAGAUAGGCUUUCCCUUCGGGGCAGGAGUGACAGGUGGUGCAUGGUUGUCGUCAGCUCGUGUCGUGAGAUGUUGGGUUAAGUCCCGCAACGAGCGCAACCCCUAUUGUUAGUUGCCAUCAUUAAGUUGGGCACUCUAGCGAGACUGCCGGUAAUAAACCGGAGGAAGGUGGGGAUGACGUCAAAUCAUCAUGCCCCUUAUGACCUGGGCUACACACGUGCUACAAUGGUUGGUACAACGAGUCGCAAGCCGGUGACGGCAAGCUAAUCUCUUAAAGCCAAUCUCAGUUCGGAUUGUAGGCUGCAACUCGCCUACAUGAAGUCGGAAUCGCUAGUAAUCGCGGAUCAGCACGCCGCGGUGAAUACGAUGGCGGGCC